AUCUCCAUGGUCAAUCAAUCAUAACUGUCAUAUCAUACUAAAACGUGCGUUGCAGGUAUGAAAACUCUCUGCUUGUGACCUGUGUGAGAUAGCUAGAAACUCUGUUUACCAAUCUGGAUUUUCACAUCAAGAUAAGACAUGGAAGGAUGAAAUGCAAUAUAUUUAUGCUGGUCAAGCCACCUUUCCUGAAGAUGUAGAUCCUUGAAACCAGAUGAAAGUCAUUGUUCACCCUUUGAUAUUUAGAUGCUUACGUCGGUGAUUUGGUGAACUUUCUUUUGAUGAGCAACAAUUUUGGCAGUGACAAGCCAAUGAAUGCUAUGCUCUCUUGCAAGUCCUGUUUCAUAUUUCCCCUCAAUACUACUACUAUCACUACUACUAAUGAUGAUAAUGUUGGUAAGCUCUAGAAUCAGCACCCAUACUAUUACUUGGCAGGAAGCAGGAACACUUCUGUAAGUUAUUUACGAAGUCAAUAGUAUUAUAGUAGUUAGUAAUUAAUAAUAAUGUAGCAAUUUUGUUCUUCAUCAGUAUGAAUAGGCAGAGUUAGGGUUUCUAAUCCGUUGUAACAAAAACAUGAGUGUUUUAAAUGAAAGAUCCUCUUAUGCAUUUGUUUAUCUUA